GAGGGUAUAGCUCAGUGGCAGAGCAUGUGCUUAGCAUGCACGAGGUCCUGGGUUCAAUCGCCAGUACCUCCA
rnacentral:tRNA from 1 species